rnacentral:rRNA from 1 species
GACGAACGCUGGCGGCGUGCUUAACACAUGCAAGUCGAACGGAAAGGCCCUGCUUUUGUGGGGUGCUCGAGUGGCGAACGGGUGAGUAACACGUGAGUAACCUGCCCUUGACUUUGGGAUAACUUCAGGAAACUGGGGCUAAUACCGGAUAGGAGCUCCUGCUGCAUGGUGGGGGUUGGAAAGUUUCGGCGGUUGGGGAUGGACUCGCGGCUUAUGAGCUUGUUGGUGGGGUAGUGGCUUACCAAGCCUUUGACGGGUAGCCUGCCUGAGAGGGUGACCGGCCACAUUGGGACUGAGAUAGGGCCCAGACUCCUACGGGAGGCAGCAGUGGGGAAUAUUGCACAAUGGGCGGACGCCUGAUGCAGCAACGCCGCGUGCGGGAUGACGGCCUUCGGGUUGUAAACCGCUUUCGCCUGUGACGAAGCGUGAGUGACGGUAAUGGGUAAAGAAGCACCGGCUAACUACGUG